CAGGAAGCUUCAGAAGCUGAGGUUCCAGGAGCCCCAGUCCAGCUCCUGACCUAUUUUUCUCAGCUGCCCAAUGUGUAGAGUGAAUACACUAAGGAAUUUAAGAGCUUACAAACUGAUUUUUAUGGAAGUCAUCAAGAGUGGAGAAGGCUGAUUUAAAAAUCAACCAUGAUUUUAAACAGGGGCUGAAAACUGUGGCUUACGAGGCAAGAUUGCAAGUUUGUGAAAAGUUUGAGCCAAAGAAAGUAUUCUUUAUGAAGACAAGUAAUUCGAUUUAAAAGGAAAAUUUAAAUGAGGCAUUAGGAACUGAACUGUGAAUUCAAUUAGGCUGUAUAUUGGACUUUCAAAAGAAGCAGUGAAAAACUCUAUAGCUUUUAUUGAGGCAAAGAAAGGACAUGUGUUAAGGCUUUAAGAUACAAGAUACUUCAAUGAAUAAAACAAAGACCUUUGCUUUCCUGAAACUUGAGAUCAAAUGGAGGACACACAAAAACAACGCACCUACAAAUCACCAUAUUGUGUGUCAGGAGCUGAGGAUGCUAUGAAAACCCCUUGAGGAAACAAAGGCACCUUGGGGGCCAUUGAGAACUCCUGACGAAGAGGGCUCAGCUGCCAGACCUGCUCAAGAAAGACCUCAGAAAUCUCUAUGGGGCUGUCAGAAGAAAAGGUUUGAAAAGGGUCUGGAGAGACUGAAAUUUGUCUGCCUUGGACUUUUCUUUUGACAAUUCACAUCCAACUUAAGCAGAAUCAUUGUUUAUUCUUAUUAUGCCAGGUUUCCUUUUCUGGUCUGCAGGUUCUCUAGGGUUUCAUAGGCUAGUAGUUGGAAUUUUCAUAUUUCCAAAGCAUUGGGGAUUUUGCAAAAACAAAAUCUAAAGGAUAUUCAGCAGCACAGUUUACUUAGGAGGUUUUAAUCAUAAUAAUCUGCAUAAUGUAUGAGAAUUUCUACCUCAGCUGCCUCCUUUCUUUCUCUUUCGUGUCUGGGAAAAAGCCAGGGAUUUUUCCCUUCCUCUGAUUUAAAUACCUUAUAAAAUUUUGGUGGAAGCAUUUUGUCCUAUUCUGUCUUCCUGAUUCAUUUUCUGCUGUAAUGAGCAAAAUUAAUUUGCAAGAGCUGCUACUGACAUAGUGUAAUAAACUGGGUCAUAGGUAGAAUCAGUGCCGCCUUAUGACCCUUAGCUGUCAUUGCUUUAAGGAAUUUGGCAUGGUCCUCGAAGGCCAGAAGGCAAUGUGGGUUGCAUCCUACAGCUUUUGAGAUCUCAGAGACUUACUGCACCCAUGGCUGGGAAUGAACUGUAAAUGCUGACACUGGUAACUAGGUGCCAAACUGAAGUGAUCACAACCUAAUCUGAGCCAAAAGGCAUUUCUUUGCAUCAGGCAUAAAGCAACAUCAAACUCCCAUAACCCACACACAACACAGAAAUCAUUACUGAAGAGAUUCAACAUCAUCAUGCCAGACACUAAGUGAGUUAUUUCUCUCCUUCCCUGUCUCACCACAGUUUCCUCCCACUUGGUCACACAUGGUAAGCAUUCAUGUGUGCGAAGGCAUUUUAUGCCUUCGACCUAACCCCGACCACAGUCCCCUAGUCUUAUCAGAGAUCUGCACUCCCCACCAUUUGAGCACGAUGGAGUGCAUAUUUCCAGUGCAAAAAGACUGAUAUCAUUAUGAUUUUCAUUAACUAGUUGCCAGCUUGCAUUCUUUUUUCUCCCUUUUUUUCUCUCUCAACAGCACUUCUGUCCUCAGCCCAACCCCAGCCAGAAAAGGUGUUGCUACAUUCAGUGAAAAAUUAUUAUUAGUAUAGACAUGAAAUUUGAUGAUAAUGUAGAUUGUUUUGUGUCAUCUGCAGGCUGUCACAAUACACUCUGCAUCACUGAAAUGUGUUGACCAGAAGGAUGAUGGUGUUGUCAUGAUACUGAGGUCUUUUAAUUAAUUACUUUGUGACUUUCAUAGCAUUUAGAAAACGGAGAACAGGGUAUUUUCUUGAACAGCCUAGCCAAAUGAAAAACUGGUUACUAAUGUAUGUUAUCUUCAUGAAUGAAGGCAUAAAAUAAUAAAAACAAACAAAUUAAAAAUUGUUAAUAAAUUAAUAACUAAUAAAAAUAAAUAAAAUAAAGAUUGUUAGCAUGUUUCAUCCAUGACAAUCAUGUAUACAAUUUGUGAUGUGCAAAAUAAUUUUGUAGUUAGGUAUCAGUGCAUAUUUUUGCACAUACUACCUUCUUUAAAGGACUGUAUAAAUUGACUAAAAUAUUUUCAGAGACUUAAUGAAGAUACAAUAUAGGGACUUGUGAUUUACACAAAGGACCUUUUAAAUUUUUCAAUGCAUUUGUUUUAAAGACGGCUUUGACCACACACGUACAUUUUCUAACUUGGAAAAGUAGCUUCCUGUUAUAAUCAAUACAGAUUACUUUUGGACUUUAAAAAAAUCAGGCAAAUAUUCUAAAUUGUUGAACUCUCUGGGUACAUGUAUCUUCUGCUUUGUUAAGUUUAUUUACUUUAUACAGUUCCCCUUCUUUCCUUGCUGUAGAGCCUGUUCAAUAUCACUGACUAAAUCACAGAAAGAACUCCAAGAUCAUCUAGCUAACCCACAAUCACUGAAGCAAGCAAAUGCUUGUUUAAAGAAUCAGGGUAGGUGGUGAUCUCUUCUAUUUUUAAAUCAUUAUAUGGGUAAAAAAUUAUAAACAUUGCUUUUCUUUAUAAAAUGGCUUCACACAUUUUAUAGGUUUACAAUUCACCAACAAGUCAUUUGAAAACCUCUGCACACUCCAGUAGUCAUAAUUUUAAAAAUCAGAUUUUAUAUUUUUCUUUUCUUCUCCUUUCCCUGAUACAGUCUUAAGUCCCACAUUUUACAGGAUGCUUUAUCCUCCUAAGUUCUAUUUUGUUUUGCACAUACAUGCAGAAUGCCUACUUAUAAAGUCAUGAGCAUAUAGAUCCAAUAGAGUAUAUGUGCCCAAUUAAGUAUUGUCCUUCUGGGUAGACAUCUUAGAGGAAAUGAACUUAUUAUAGAUUUGUCCUAACUUCAGUAACACCCAUCCAUAAAAGGCCGCCAAGUUGCUGCUUUCUGCAGUAGUACUCGAGUUGAAGAGAGGAGAUUUUUCAAGGAUAAGAUACUUCGUGAUCAAUAGCGUGUCCCAGAAGAAGGCAGAAAGUAGAAGAUGAGGAGAGGAUGGCUCCAACUCUUGUAGGACCUAGGGGAUAUGAUGAGAUUAGCCCGUGGGCAGUACAGGAGGACAGCAGGCUUGGGCAAAAGUGUACAGUAUAAAGAAGAUAAUGGGAGACAAGAAACCUGGGAUUAAAGUCCCAGUGAGCAAACAAAUCACUCUUUUUUCCUUUUGGUUCUUCAUAAAAUGAGAAUAGUUACAUUCAGUUGAAAACCUUGGUGCCCCAGAUAUGAAUCGCUAUAAGCAUCUGUCAUUUUUGUAAAGAAAAAAUAUUUAUGUUUUAUUAUGGAAUUUCCCAC
rnacentral:lncRNA from 10 species